GUAACUGACGCUGAGGCUCGAAAGUAUGGGUAGCAACAGGAUUAGAUACCUGGUAGUCCAUACCGUAAACGAUGAAUGCUAAGUGUUGGAGGUUUCCCCUUCAGUGCUGCAGCUAACGCAUUAAGCAUUCCGCCUGGGGAGUACGGCCGCAAGGCUGAAACUCAAAGGAAUUGACGGGGGCCCGCACAAGCGGUGGAGCAUGUGGUUUAAUUCGAAGCUACGCGAAGAACCUUACCAGGUCUUGACAUACUAUGCAAAUCUAAGAGAUUAGACGUUCCCUUCGGGGACAUGGAUACAGGUGGUGCAUGGUUGUCGUCAGCUCGUGUCGUGAGAUGUUGGGUUAAGUCCCGCAACGAGCGCAACCCUUAUUAUCAGUUGCCAGCAUUAAGUUGGGCACUCUGGUGAGACUGCCGGUGACAAACCGGAGGAAGGUGGGGAUGACGUCAAAUCAUCAUGCCCCUUAUGACCUGGGCUACACACGUGCUACAAUGGAUGGUACAACGAGUUGCGAACUCGCGAGAGUAAGCUAAUCUCUUAAAGCCAUUCUCAGUUCGGAUUGUAGGCUGCAACUCGCCUACAUGAAGUCGGAAUCGCUAGUAAUCGCGGAUCAGCAUGCCGCGGUGAAUACGUUCCCGGGCCUUGUACACACCGCCCGUCACACCAUGAGAGUUUGUAACACCCAAAGUCGGUGGGGUAACCUUUAGGAACCAGCCGCCUAAGGUGGGACAGAUGAUUAGGGUGAAGUCGUAACAAGGUAACCA
rnacentral:rRNA from 1 species